rnacentral:rRNA from 1 species
GACGAACGCUGGCGGCGUGCUUAACACAUGCAAGUCGAACGGAAAGGCCCUGCUUUUGUGGGGUGCUCGAGUGGCGAACGGGUGAGUAACACGUGAGUAACCUGCCCUUGACUUUGGGAUAACUUCAGGAAACUGGGGCUAAUACCGGAUAGGAGCUCCUGCUGCAUGGUGGGGGUUGGAAAGUUUCGGCGGUUGGGGAUGGACUCGCGGCUUAUCAGCUUGUCGGUGGGGGAGUGGCUUACCAAGGCUUUGACGGGUAGCCGGCCUGAGAGGGUGACCGGCCACAUUGGGACUGAGAUACGGCCCAGACUCCUACGGGAGGCAGCAGUGGGGAAUAUUGCACAAUGGGCGGAAGCCUGAUGCAGCAACGCCGCGUGCGGGAUGACGGCCUUCGGGUUGUAAACCGCUUUCGCCUGUGACGAAGCGUGAGUGACGGUAAUGGGUAAAGAAGCACCGGCUAACUACGUG